AUUGUUUUAAACUCAACUUGCAUAAGUCAAUAAAUGUUUGAUAUAAAGAGUAAUAAAAAAGAACAACUGAGCAGGAACUGUUUUUAGCACUUUAUGGGAAGGAAAACAUGCUUGGGGGAUAGCAAGGUCGUUUCCUGGCUGAAGUUGCUGCUUGUUUGUAUGAACCUGAUUGCUUGAUUCUUACAUCAUGUUCUGUGAAGCUUCAUUCCUGAUCCAGUGUGUUUUGGGAUCUUUUGGGGAGUUUUCGAGGAUAAACGCUUAACGGAUGAAUAUUUGCAUUCAUACGCUUCGGCUACUCACCGCUGCAGCAAAUCCACGCAGCAGUACUGCAAACAGACCACUUCCCAUCUGCAGCCGGACAGCUUGUGGUUAAGUGCCCUUCAGGCUCGUCUUCCUGAAGCACUUCUCAAGUUGGUGUCCUUCAAGUCAGACUGUACCUGUAUCAGACUGUAACGUUAUUUCGCAGUAGGAAUUACACUUAAUGCAAUCGUGCCGUGACCCGUAAUGGCUGUGAAGCUGGAUUCUCAACAUCUGGGCCCCUGGGUGUCAUCCGCAAAAUUCAAUUACUUGCCCUAGCUGAAGAAUAUUUAAUCGUGCGCUGAUCAGGCAGAAAGCUCCAGCUUUCAGUCGGACGUCCACACCACCUUGCAGAGCAUGAUGCUGAGGCCAUCCAAAGGCUUGAUCUUCAUGGGCGUUAUUCUGUGGCGUUACCAGAGCUCAUGAAGUAUCACUCCUCCCAGUCUACACGACCAGCUUGUUAUGUGUCAAAAUAAGAGUCGGUUCAAAAACCAUUUUGACAACUGUAGGUCAUCGCUGCAUUCGGGACACAUCCAGUGCGGCCAGCCGUUUACAUGGAUUUCAUUCAUUGUUUUUCACUAGGUGCUGAAAUUUGGGAAACUUGGUUUGCCCUGGUCAUGUGUUCCCACUUGGUAGUCACCCUGACAACAGUGCCUUGCUGUCACCUGUUCCUGUAAGUGGUGUUAUCCUUGAAACCUGAUAUAUCUUAAUCAUAUGGCUUUGUGAUCAUGCUGGUCCAGGAUGGGAGGGCGGGGCUUUAGUCAGCUGACCUUAGAUCCUUACAGGUUUUUUUCCUCCCAAUUUCUGAGUUUUUGGUUCCUGUCCUCCAUGUCUUCUGCCAUUCUUGCUUUCCAUCUUCCCUUGUCCCAGUCUCGUGUACUAUUCCGCAUAAAUAACCAGAUGGCGACACACCCUUGUCCAGCACCUAGGGGUGACUAAAAUUCCCUUAUUUCCUUUUGUUUUGAACUGUCUUGUCUUUCACUGCACUGCUGUUAUGUCUUUACUGCACUGUUGUUGGUCCUACUGUCCCCCCAUAUACUGGGUCCCUCCCCUGCAACUGUAGCAAAAGAAUUUCACUGUGCUUCUCGGAACACGUGACAAUGAAACCUGAUCAGUCAUUUCUGUGCUCUCUGCUUUGGCCAAUCUGGAACACUGGGCCCAUGUUGAUGAUUGUCCCCAUAUGUGUGCUGAGGGAUGGAAUGAUAACAGCACG